AGAACGAACGCUGGCGGCGCGUUUAAGCAUGCAAGUCGAGCGGCAAGGGCCUUCGGGCCCUAGAGCGGCGGACGGGUGAGUAACACGUGGACAAUCUGCCCCCGGCCCGGGAUAGCCCAGGGAAACCUGGAUUAAUAUCGGAUGAGACGGGACCCGCGAAGGCGGGACCCGGAAAGGCGCUGCGGCGCCGCCGGGGGAUGAGUCUGCGUCCCAUUAGCUAGACGGCGGGGUAACGGCCCACCGUGGCGACGAUGGGUAGCCGGCCUGAGAGGGUGGACGGCCACAUUGGAACUGAGACACGGUCCAGACUCCUACGGGAGGCAGCAGCUAAGAAUCUUCCGCAAUGGGCGAAAGCCUGACGGAGCGACGCCCGCGUGAACGAAGAAGGCCGUGAGGUUGUAAAGUUCUUUUCGGGAGGGGGAACAACCGUGGCAGGGAAUGGCCGCGGGAUGACGUGAAUCCCGGAAUAAGCCCCGGCUAACUACGUGCCAGCCGCAGC
rnacentral:rRNA from 1 species